rnacentral:lncRNA from 1 species
GUGCAAUCUGCCAAAGGAGAAAGAUCUUGGACCCCACUUUGUGGAAAUAAAUAUCAAGUGACAAAAAAAGAUUCAGCAAUUUUAGAGUUAUGUAUCUUACAUGAAGUUCAUGCAUGCCCAAGAGUAAAAAGAUUUAGAGCUCUUCCUUGUAAUAGCCAAGUUUUGCUAGUGACAUCUCUCUUCUCAGCUGCAUAACUUCCCAGAACAUCUGAUCCACAUCUUGCUGCUUCAGCAAUCCUUGCUGGAUAUAUCGAAUAUAAGUAAAGAAGUUGCACACAGAAGUUAUCCUGUAACGACAAAAAGGAGAAAUGUAGUAGUAACUGCUUGAAUCUCCUAAUUUGAUUCUAUGCUUGCAUGACUUGCUUUGUCCACUUAGAGCACAUUUCUUUGGUCCCCCACAUUCAACUGCAGAAGCUUUCACAAAUCGAACAGGUUGCAAGCCAACAGGUUCAAUGCUCAGAGUGUUGUUUUCAACAGCUUCCAGAACAGCUGAGGCCAACUGCAAGAGAAAUGUAGAAAGCAGUUAAAAACAGCCCCGUGUGAUCCACUGCCUCAAAGCAGUGACACAUUUCUG